rnacentral:rRNA from 1 species
AGAGUUUGAUCAUGGCUCAGAUUGAACGCUGGCGGCAGGCCUAACACAUGCAAGUCGAACGGUAACAGGAAGCAGCUUGCUGCUUUGCUGACGAGUGGCUGCUUUGCUGACGAGUGGCGGACGGGUGAGUAAUGUCUGGGAAACUGCCCGAUGGAGGGGGAUAACUACUGGAAACGGUAGCUAAUACCGCAUAACGUCGCAAGACCAAAGAGGGGGACCUUCGCCCCCCUCUUGCCAUCGGAUGUGCCCAGAUGGGAUUAGCUAGUAGGUGGGGUAACGGCUCACCUAGGCGACGAUCCCUAGCUGGUCUGAGAGGAUGACCAGCCACACUGGAACUGAGACACGGUCCAGACUCCUACGGGAGGCAGCAGUGGGGAAUAUUGCACAAUGGGCGCAAGCCUGAUGCAGCCAUGCCGCGUGUAUGAAGAAGGCCUUCGGGUUGUAAAGUACUUUCAGCGGGGAGGAAGGGAGUAAAGUUAAUACCUUUGCUCAUUGACGUUACCCGCAGAAGAAGCACCGGCUAACUCCGUGCCAGCAGCCGCGGUAAUACGGAGGGUGCAAGCGUUAAUCGGAAUUACUGGGCGUAAAGCGCACGCAGGCGGUUUGUUAAGUCAGAUGUGAAAUCCCCGGGCUCAACCUGGGAACUGCAUCUGAUACUGGCAAGCUUGAGUCUCGUAGAGGGGGGUAGAAUUCCAGGUGUAGCGGUGAAAUGCGUAGAGAUCUGGAGGAAUACCGGUGGCGAAGGCGGCCCCCUGGACGAAGACUGACGCUCAGGUGCGAAAGCGUGGGGAGCAAACAGGAUUAGAUACCCUGGUAGUCCACGCCGUAAACGAUGUCGACUUGGAGGUUGUGCCCUUGAGGCGUGGCUUCCGGAGCUAACGCGUUAAGUCGACCGCCUGGGGAGUACGGCCGCAAGGUUAAAACUCAAAUGAAUUGACGGGGGCCCGCACAAGCGGUGGAGCAUGUGGUUUAAUUCGAUGCAACGCGAAGAACCUUACCUGGUCUUGACAUCCACGGAAGUUUUCAGAGAUGAGAAUGUGCCUUCGGGAACCGUGAGACAGGUGCUGCAUGGCUGUCGUCAGCUCGUGUUGUGAAAUGUUGGGUUAAGUCCCGCAACGAGCGCAACCCUUAUCCUUUGUUGCCAGCGGUCCGGCCGGGAACUCAAAGGAGACUGCCAGUGAUAAACUGGAGGAAGGUGGGGAUGACGUCAAGUCAUCAUGGCCCUUACGACCAGGGCUACACACGUGCUACAAUGGCGCAUACAAAGAGAAGCGACCUCGCGAGAGCAAGCGGACCUCAUAAAGUGCGUCGUAGUCCGGAUUGGAGUCUGCAACUCGACUCCAUGAAGUCGGAAUCGCUAGUAAUCGUGGAUCAGAAUGCCACGGUGAAUACGUUCCCGGGCCUUGUACACACCGCCCGUCACACCAUGGGAGUGGGUUGCAAAAGAAGUAGGUAGCUUAACCUUCGGGAGGGCGCUUACCACUUUGUGAUUCAUGACUGGGGUGAAGUCGUAACAAGGUAACCGUAGGGGAACCUGCGGUUG